GGGGUCUGCCUGACUUCCAGGACACCUGGGUGGAAUCCUUUUCAGGCCCCAAUUUCUUCGUCUCUCCUACGCGGUAGUAAUCCGUCUCCCCCUACCCCCGCUUUAUCCUGUAGGAUCCAAUCCGCUGGGCUCCUGCUCGGUGUUCCGUACACUUCCUGGGCAGCCAACUAACGGGUCGGACUGGGCAAGAGUUCGAUUCCAUGAUCCUCAAGACAGGCUGCGUAUAAACACGAGUGACCCUGGGCCUUCUUCACUGCCCCUGUUCCCCUUGAACCCACCCUGACCCUGGUUUGAUAAAACCUUCCCACAUGCGAAGACAAGUCCUGACCAGA